rnacentral:rRNA from 1 species
UACGUAGGGGGCAAGCGUUAUCCGGAAUUACUGGGUGUAAAGGGAGAGUAGGCGGCAAGGUAAGCGAUAUGUGAAAGCCUUAGGCUUAACCAGAGGAUUGCAUAACGAACUAUCUAGCUAGAGUACAGGAGAGGGAAGCGGAAUUCCUAGUGUAGCGGUGAAAUGCGUAGAUAUUAGGAAGAACACCAGUGGCGAAGGCGGCUUUCUGGACUGAAACUGACGCUGAGGCUCGAAAGCGUGGGGAGCGAACAGG